rnacentral:rRNA from 1 species
GACGAACGCUGGCGGCGUGCUUAACACAUGCAAGUCGAACGGAAAGGCCCUGCUUGCAGGGUACUCGAGUGGCGAACGGGUGAGUAACACGUGGGUGAUCUGCCCUGCACUUCGGGAUAAGCCUGGGAAACUGGGUCUAAUACCGGAUAUGACCUUCCAUGUAGUGUGGGGGGUGGAAAGAUUUAUCGGUGUGGGAUGAGCCCGCGGCCUAUCAGCUUGUUGGUGGGGUAAUGGCCUACCAAGGCGUCGACGGGUAGCCGGCCUGAGAGGGUGGACGGCCACAUUGGGCCUGAGAUACGGCCCAGACUCCUACGGGAGGCAGCAGUGGGGAAUAUUGCACAAUGGGCGGAAGCCUUAUGCAGCGACGCCGCGUGGGGGAUGACAGCCUUCGGGUUGUAAACCUCUUUCGACAGGGACGAAGCUUCGGUGACGGUACCUGUAUAAGAAGCACCGGCUAACUACGUG